rfam:Oryza glumipatula chromosome 2, whole genome shotgun sequence.
AUACCUUUCUCGGCCUUUUGGCUAAGAUCAAGUGUAGUAUCUGUUCUUAUCAGUUUAAUAUCUGAUAUGUGGGCCAUGUGCCCACUUCGAUGUUAAAUUUAUUUUUUGUGGGGGAGGGCCCACCACAGUGGCUAGCCACUGGGGCCCUCGCGCGUCGCCCAGGCGUUGCACUGCUGCCCGGGCAUGGCGCACCCCAA